rnacentral:rRNA from 1 species
GAUGAACGCUGGCGGCGUGCUUAACACAUGCAAGUCGAACGGUGAAGGCGGAGCUUGCUCUGCUGGAUCAGUGGCGAACGGGUGAGUAACACGUGAGCAAUCUGCCCCUGACUCUGGGAUAAGCGCUGGAAACGGAGUCUAAUACUGGAUACGAACUGGGAAGGCCUCUUCAGCAGCUGGAAAGAACUUCGCUCAGGGAUGAGCGUGCGGCGUCUCAGCUUGUUGUUGAGGUAACGGUUCACGAAGGGGUCGACGAGUAGACGGCCUGGGAAGGUGACCGGCGACACUGGGACUGAGACACGGCGCAGACUCGUACGUGAGGCAACGGUGGGAAAGAUGACACAAUGGUGGAGAGCCUGAUGCAGCAGCGCCGCGUGAGUGACGACGUCCUUCGGGUUGGAAACCUCUUUUAGCAGAGAAGAAGCUAAAGUGACGGUACCUGCAGAAAAAGCGCCGGCUAACUACGUG